GACGAACGCUGGCGGCGUGCUUAACACAUGCAAGUCGAACGGAAAGGCCCUGCUUUUGUGGGGUGCUCGAGUGGCGAACGGGUGAGUAACACGUGAGUAACCUGCCCUUGACUUUGGGAUAACUUCAGGAAACUGGGGCUAAUACCGGAUAGGAGCUCCUGCUGCAUGGUGGGGGUUGGAAAGUUUCGGCGGUUGGGGAUGGACUCGCGGCUUAUCAGCUUGUUGGUGGGGUAGUGGCUUACCAAGGCUUUGACGGGUAGCCGGCCUGAGAGGGUGACCGGCCACAUGGGUACUGAGAUACGGCCCAGACUCCUACGGGAGGCAGCAGUGGGGAAUAUUGCACAAUGGGCGGAAGCCUGAUGCAGCAACGCCGCGUGCGGGAUGACGGCCUUCGGGUUGUAAACCGCUUUCGCCUGUGACGAAGCGUGAGUGACGGUAAUGGGUAAAGAAGCACCGGCUAACUACGUG
rnacentral:rRNA from 1 species